rnacentral:rRNA from 1 species
UGUCAGGGGUGCCGUGUACUAUAUCAGGUCAUACCAGAAACCGGAACUUCGGUUCUGGGGGUAAAGGGUUGCACAAGGUGAAAAACGCGUAAGUAAUCUACCCUUGGGUUUGGAAUAUCCCUCCGGAAGGCGGACUAAUACCGGAUAAAAUCUUUUGGAGGGAUCUGAUAGAUCAAAGGUGGCCUCUCCAUGGAUGCUACUGCCUGAGGAUGAGCCUGCGUCCCAUUAACUUGUUGGUAGGGUAAUGGCCUACCAAGGCUACGAUGGGUAACUGGUCUGAGAGGAUGAUCAGUCACACUGGAACUGGAACACGGUCCAGACUCCUACGGGAGGCAGCAGUGAGGAAUAUUGCGCAAUGGGGGAAACCCUGACGCAGCAACGCCGCGUGGGUGAAGAAGGCCUUCGGGUCGUAAAGCCCUGUCUAGAGGGAAGAAAUUCUCAAUGGAAUAAUACCCAUUGAGAUUGACGGUACCUCUGGAGGAAGCACCGGCUAACUCCGUGCCAGCAGCCGCGGUAAUACGGAGGGUGCGAGCGUUGUUCGGAAUUACUGGGCGUAAAGCGGGUGUAGGCGGUUUGUUAAGUCAGAUGUGAAAGCCCACGGCUCAACCGUGGAAGUGCAUCUGAAACUGGCUGACUUGAGUACCGGAGAGGGAAGUGGAAUUCCUGGUGUAGGGGUGAAAUCCGUAGAUAUCAGGAGGAACACCGGUGGCGAAGGCGACUUCCUGGACGGAUACUGACGCUGAGAUCCGAAAGCGUGGGGAGCAAACAGGAUUAGAUACCCUGGUAGUCCACGCCCUAAACGAUGGGCACUAGGUGCAGGGGGUGUUGACCCCUCCUGUGCCGCAGCUAACGCAUUAAGUGCCCCGCCUGGGGAGUACGGCCGCAAGGUUGAAACUCAAAGGAAUUGACGGGGGCCCGCACAAGCGGUGGAGCAUGUGGUUCAAUUCGACGCAACGCGAAGAACCUUACCUGGGCUUGACAUCCCGGGAACUCUGUGGAAACACGGAGGUGCCCCCUUUCGGGGGGAACCUGGUGACCAGGUGCCUGCAUGGCCUG